GCAGGCAUGUCACGACCCUUUCUUAGCCUGUUGGGAUUACAUCGUGUGGCACACAAGUGUUCACUGGUGCAACUAGAAAUGUGUGAAUAUUCUUGGCAUUUGCAGACAUCUCAGAGUGUUUUGAACCUGAAGGACUCUUUCAAGCCUCUUCUUUUUUUCACAGGCUUUUAUGAACUUUUAUGAACAACAAACUGAAAGGUUUCCUGUGACCUGGAGGAGGGGUUAGGAUACAUGCUUUGGCCAUCAAGACAGAAAACCCAGCUCUUCAAUGUCAACAGGAAAGUUUCAACUCCUUUAUCCACAAAAAUAAUUUAAUUUUCUUAUGAAAAGGAAAUCUACUGUCUUUGCUUCUUCUCCGCCUCUACCGCUUCUCUGCAGGUGUCCCUGACCUCCAUGCAGAGCAGGGGGAUGAGGCAGGAUUCUCAGAACUGAACUUUCCACACACAAGUUGUGACUGUGUUCACAGAGUUGAAGUCCAAGUCCCCUCCUUUGCUGCUGCCUGACCUACCUCCAGCUUUGUCAGCCUGGUGAAGACAUCCUUCAUUCAUGGUGCUCCCUUAUUCAUGUGUCAAAUAUCUCCAAGAUUUGCUCCACUAUUUGACAGGAUGUAAUUAAUGCAGGGGCUCUUGGACAAAACUGGAAGAUUUUCUGGGUUUCAGAUAUAGCAGAGUACAAAUUGCCAAAAAACCAUCUCUAGGGUGAAUCUCCCUGCGCUCAGUGAUGUUCUUACAGCAUGGAUGCUUCCAUAGGAAAAAAACAUCUGGAAAUGGAAGACCUAAGCUGUUCUUUCCUUGCCCAACCUGCCAGUGAGCAGCUGCUGCUGUCCUGUCACUGGUAUAACCCUGUCCUCACUCACCUCUGACUGGUUCAUGAAUAUUGCAGAUUCCUGAGAGUGGGGAGAGCCUGCAGCUGGGCUAGCAUUGGGUCAGCACAGUUGGAUGAAGUUCUGUCCUUAAGCAUCAACCUCUAAGUUCCUAUACAAAACAGGAGCAAGAGCAAUUUGUCUCCCUAGGAACUUUACCUGCAAAAAAAAAAAAUUUCUAUCUAAGCUAGUUAACCCAACAUACUUAUACUAAAGUGUUUCUUCGGGCACUGGCUUGAAAUAUCUAUUUGGGAAUUGCCCUCUUGGAAAAUUGCAGUUUAACAUCUGAGAUGAACCUGGCAUACAAGCUGUCACACUUGAGGGCAGAACAAGUACACACAGCUAUCAUCACGUCCAAGACAAGACACUGUGGAGGCUUUGAAGCAAAGAGGAGGAAUUUCUCAACACGGGUGCAUUCCUGUCCCUUGAGCAGCUCCUCUACUUGGAGAUACCACAUGCAGAAUUUGUCUACUAUGAAGCUGAUGUUCUUCAGUGUAGACAUGGGCAGAAACAGCUAUAAAUAGCAGAGGAUAUUAAAAGUGAUUGCAAAUUGAAAAAUGAGAACUCCACACUUCAUUUAUCUGUAAAUGGCACAGACUAUACACUUUAUUGCUUAUUAGUUUUUUCUCCUAAAGAGAGAGCACCGGGUGAAUCAUCAAAGGGCAAGGGCAAAGUGAAACAAGGAUUGUGCUUUUCCACAGGGCCAAGAUCUAAAGCUGUACUUCAGGCUUUUACCUCCUCUCCAGUUUCAGUAUUCCCUGAAGAAGAUAAGCCAUGGAAUUUGCAGGGCCAAGAUCUUCACUGCAAAGUCUCCUCCAGUGUCUCGAUUCCCCAGUGUGUUGAGAAAGUUUGUCCCUCUCUUUGGAAGCAAGGGGACAUCCUUCCUUAGAUGGACCAGCCUCUGCACACUGAGGGCCCUGUGCACACAGGGCUCUGCCUCCCUGAGGAAUAUAUACCCAGACCAGGUUUUGAGUAUUUGGCUAUGAUCCUGGAAUAACCUCAACAAAGUCGAUGGAUUUUCCCCAGAUUUGCUUCAGCAUAAUGAGCUAAGAAUUUGGACCUCUGUGCCAUAUUGUGUGGAAUUUUAUUAAUUUUAAAUAAAGUUUCCACCUUAAAUGAA